AUGAAGGUCGGCAGCAGAAUACUGCGUUGAUAGGAAGGUGGUGUAGAUCACAAGCUUCGGCGAGUGGUGAGCCAGCCUUUACUAAUAGACCAACACAUCAGUUCA
rnacentral:rRNA from 1 species